UACAGAGGGUGCGAGCGUUGUCCGGAAUCACUGGGCGUAAAGGGCGCGUAGGUGGCGACCCAAGUCAAUGGUGAAAGCUCGAUGCUCAACAUCGAGUCGGCCACUGAUACUGGGUUGCUCGAGCACUGUAGAGGCAGAUGGAAUUCCGGGUGUAGCGGUGGAGUGCGUAGAGAUCCGGAAGAACACCGGUGGCGAAGGCGGUCUGCUGGGCAGUUGCUGACACUGAGGCGCGACAGCGUGGGGAGCAAACAGG
rnacentral:rRNA from 1 species